rnacentral:pre_miRNA from 1 species
AUGGUACUCCCUCCGUCCGGAAAUACUUGUCAUCAAAAUGGAUAAAAAAAGGAUGUAUCUAGAACUAAAAUACGUCUAGAUACAUCUUCUUUUAUCCAUUUUGAUGACAAGUAUUUCCGGACGGAGGGAGUAGCUA